rnacentral:pre_miRNA from 1 species
UAACUACUCCCUCCGUUCGGAAUUACUUGUCUCGGAAAUAGAUGUAUCUAGAACAAAAAUACGUCUAGAUACAUCCAUUUUCGAGACAAGUAAUUCCGAACGGAGGGAGUACUAA